rnacentral:rRNA from 1 species
GACGAACGCUGGCGGCGCGCCUAACACAUGCAAGUCGAACGAGCGAGAGAGAGCUUGCUUUCUUGAGCGAGUGGCGAACGGGUGAGUAACGCGUGAGGAACCUGCCUCAAAGAGGGGGACAACAGUUGGAAACGACUGCUAAUACCGCAUAAGCCCACGACCCGGCAUCGGGGUGAGGGAAAAGGAGCAAUCCGCUUUGAGAUGGCCUCGCGUCCGAUUAGCUAGUUGGUGAGGUAACGGCCCACCAAGGCGACGAUCGGUAGCCGGACUGAGAGGUUGAACGGCCACAUUGGGACUGAGACACGGCCCAGACUCCUACGGGAGGCAGCAGUGGAGAAUAUUGCACAAUGGGGGAAACCCUGAUGCAGCGACGCCGCGUGGAGGAAGAAGGUCUUCGGAUUGUAAACUCCUGUUGUUGAGGAAGAUAAUGACGGUACUCAACAAGGAAGUGACGGCUAACUACGUG